UACGAAGGGUGCAAACGUUGCUCGGAAUCAUUGGGCGUAAAGCGCACGUAUGCGGCCUCAAAAGUCGGAUGUGAAAUCCCGUGGCUCAACCAUGGACGUGCAUUCGAAACUGCGAGGCUUGAGUAUGGAAGAGGGUCGCGGAAUUCCCGGUGUAGAGGUGAAAUUCGUAGAUAUCGGGAGGAACACCAGUGGCGAAGGCGGCGACCUGGGCCAAUACUGACGCUGAGGUGCGAAAGCGUGGGGAGCAAACAGG
rnacentral:rRNA from 1 species